CGAGCGCAGCGAGAAAGCGUUGCCGCAGGCAACGACCCGAAGGGCGAAGCGCGCAGCGCUGAGUAAUCCUUCCCCCAUCACCA
rnacentral:sRNA from 1 species